GAAGCUGUUUCAAAUGUUAAAUUUAGAUGUUUUAAGAGGACCAAAGUUGAGUUUGAGGGGAUUCAUUUGGCUAAACUUUAGACUAAAAGGUAGCUCACUUAGUGAGCAAACUGGAAGUGAUGGGGAGAUAAAAAAUCCUCCAGGGUUUGAUGGUCACAGUUGAAGUUGCCCUCGAAGUAAUUUAGGUAAUGAGUCCAUGCAGUGCUGCCAGCUGGGGGGCAGGAUGGCAGAUGCAGAGCACCUGGAGCACAUUUAGCUGGUCUGAAACAGCCUAAAGAUGAGAUUCACUGGGCUGGGAGAGAGGGCGUAGGGUCUGAGAGGAGAGGCUUUGGUCUUGCCUGUGCACUGGUGAAAAAUACUUGGGAUUUGUUGAGACCCAUCCCUGGUUCUCUGAGCAGUGAAGCCCUUCCAGUUCCAACAGCAGAAUGAAAGUAAGAAAUCUCAGAAAGCAGAUUUUCUCCAGAGAAAAAUGUGUGUGAGCAGUCCCACAUGUUAGCUACGGGACAAGCCUGGGAGAAGCGAGAGCCUGUUGACAGGAGAUAUUUUUCCUGUGGAGCAUUCCAGGGAAAGGCCCAUCUGGAGUGGUCAGUGCUUGAGCUCAGGGAUGGCUGCAGUUCCUGCAAGCUAUCACCCAGCUGAAGAUUGAGAACAACCCCUUUGCCAAAGGCUUCCGUGGCAGCGACGACAUGGAGCUCCACAGGAUGUCCAGGAUGCAGAGGAAUGGUGCCAUACCCAGGAUCGUAACUAAGACAGAUGGAGAUUCUCAACAGAGUGUUUUCCAGGAGGGCAGGAGCCACUCAGAUCCUUUAUUCUCUGGCUCCUGCUGGAGGGACCUGCUUUGGGACCUUCUGAUGGGAGGGUUUUUCCCACUGCCCACCCAGGAGCCAGCUGUAGGUGGUCACUUCUGGUCGUUGUAGUUGAUGAUGUGAGCAUGGCUCUCCAUAGAAAGGAAAAAUUGUGCUGUCAGGCACCAAAUAAUUCCUUCAAACCUGCAAACAUGCCUGGAGCCCACCCAAACUGGGCAAAUGUCCUCCUGUGUACAAACAUGUUCAGACUCAGCCCCAGAAAAGCCAAGAUAGAUGUAUAAAAAAGGUAUAGGCAACACUUAAUCUGCACCAUCAAAAUCAUCUCCGUGGGCUCCUGAAUGUGCCCUGUGUUCCCUGCCUGCCCUUUCCAACAGAUCCUGGCAGGAUCUGUCAAUAUUUAUUUAUUUAUGGUGGCACUACCCCUUGAAAUAACUCCCCCCACCUCGUGCCAGUCGCCCAGCUUCUCCUGGAACUUGAGUGAUGAUGUGUUCUCCCCCGCAGCCAAUAUAUUUUUCUGCUGCCAAACCACCCUUUCAUUGCAGUCACUGGAAAGAUUUGAAGGUUUGGAUUCACGGGGGGGUUUUUUUGGAGCAGGAGGGAGGAGGUGGAACAGGGAGGACUCUUAGGAAGGGCUCGGUGCCAUGUGAAGAGCAUGGCAUCAAGCCACGCUGAGCCCGUGCUAAAAAUUGAUUGGCAUUUUUAUGCAGGGGCUGCGGUUGAUGAUCCAGGGAACAGAAACACUUGGGAUAUAUAAAUACACCCACGCAGGCCUGGCAGGGCUGGAAGGGUUAAAAUCCUUGCCUUUACUGGAUAAUUUCUGAUGUUCAUUUUAAUAACUUAGCAGAGGAAUGGCUGUGUGCCUUUACAAAGGUGGCAUUUUUUUUAAGGGAGGGCAGGAGAAGAUGAUUAUAGUAAAAUAAAGACCCAUUCAAGGUUGCAAAUAUGUGCCCACCUUUGUGGGUUUUUUAUGUAGAUAUAUGAAUAUAUUCAAAAUUAUAUAUGAAAAUAUAUAAAAUCAGUUAUGUAUAUAAAUAAAUUGUAGCUAUAAAAAAUAGGUUGUGUCUAUGAGAUAAAGAACCAUUCAGGAUUGAGAAUGUUGCAGAACUAUGCCCUGCCUUUUGUGGGUUUAUAUAGAGUUAACAUAUAAAUAUAUAUUAAAAUGUAAUUAAAUUUAUAUGUUAUAUAUUUUAAUAUACAAAUGUAUGUUUAUGAGGUUGUUUCCCAGUGAUGGACCAGUCAGUCUGUCCUGGUUUUAGGGGAAUGAUGUCCAUUUGUGCCCUUGGAGAAUAUGGUGGGAUGCAUUUUUAGUGCUAUUUCUUCAUUAUGAAAAAGUAGCUGGAAAACCCCACAUUUUAUAACAGUGCUGAGCCUUUUGUACCAGAAACUUCUGACCUGACAUUCAUUCACCAUGGCCUUGAGUCCAUCCCUCUCCAUGGCUUUCUCCUUUCCAGGGCCUCCCAUAUUGGUUUUAUUUCCUCUUAUUUCCCAGAAAGAUGUUAACAAGUCUGUCCAGGCAGAACUUCAUUCAGGAGUGGUGUGAAGACUUUCAGCAGGGGAGGAUUUCAUUGAAAAAGAGGAGCCACGAGCUCCAGAGAUCCAAAUUCCAGUGAAUGUUCCUUUUCUUCCCACUAUCUUUCUUUCCUGAAGCACAGGAGGUGCCUUCAGCAGCUUCUUUGGUAGGAUGGACCCUCUGGGAAGAGGAGGUUUUUCAAAGCUUUCAAGUUUCUGAGCAUGAGGUUGAGUUUUUUAUUUUAUUGAUUAGAGAAAACCCCCCAGACAUUAAAAAGGAAGGAGAAUGCAUAGAGGGGUGUGAGUUUUACUACAUGUCUGGGUCUGG